UGCUAUAAUCAAAGCUGCAGUUAGGACAGGGCUUCUGGAGUGGAGGGAUGAAAGCAGCGGGGUCGGAAGUGGGUGUAUCCUGGGGGAGCCAGGAAAGUACAGAAGGAAAGGGGAGUCUGCAGUGGAGGACAUGGGACAAGCCAGACUUGGAGAAUUGCCAGAGCAUGGCAUUUGUUGUCGGGUGUGCUGGCAACAGGGCAAGAGCAAGAGAAGGAACCAAGGCCUUGGUGGGUUCCCAGGAGACAGGGUAGAACUAGGCCUCAUGGCUGACCCCUCAGCCUUCUCACCAUCAGGACCUGAGGUCCCAGCUGGUCCCUGCUCAGGGCUUCCUGUGAAUAGAAACUUCCUUCUCUGCUCCAAGCACCCACCAGCUGCCAGCCCAGUGAGCAGUGCCAUCCAGUGGCAGUCAACACCCUAAUACAGACAACACGUGCACACUAGGAGAAGUUUUCCAUUGCAUCCCUAGGAUAACUAUACAACCAAAGGGCACCCCGGACACCUAGUGGGG
rnacentral:lncRNA from 1 species